GCCGGGCAUGGUGGUGCCUGCCUGUAAUCCCAGCUACUCAGGAGGCUGAGGCAGGAGAAUUGCUUGAGCCCAGAAGGUGGAGGAUGCAGUGAGCCAAGAUUGCGCCACUGCACUCCAGUCUGGGCAACAGAGCGAGACUUGGUCUCAA
ensembl:misc_RNA Metazoa_SRP Metazoan signal recognition particle RNA